rnacentral:sRNA from 1 species
UAAUUCUUUUUUGUGAUGCGUGAGAGUCCGACAUAUUUCUUUACAAAAAUGAAUAUUUACUUUUUCGGAUUGUUUGGAUUUUGGCUGUUAUACAAAACUGAGGCAUUUAAUUCUUGUGGAAAUGGAGGAUCUAAACGCUUAGGACUGGAGGCAGAAAGCAUAUCAUUUAUUGAGUCAACGAUAUUACUGCCGGAAAUCGUUGAAAUAGAUUUAGAUAUGGGAAAUCUAGACCUCCCAACGACGACAAAGAUGGACAGGUUGGAAGGAGAAAAUCCUUCUAAGAUUUACACAAGCUGUCAUUGGCGCUUUCAUGCAGAUAAUGCAGAUAAACAGAUAGUAUAUAAAUUCACGGACUUGCAAGUGGACUGUGAAGAUGAAUUGACUGUUCUUCCAAAUGAGGCGGAAUCUACUCAAAAAUACUGUGGGAUUGGAAAUGUUGCAGCAUCAAAAGAAACACCAGCAGACAAACUCGAAGUGCUUUAUUCACAGUCUGACAAAAACGAUCUAAUUAUAAGAAGUUUUAAUUUGCAUAUGAUUGCAGCAACUGGGAAUGAAACAUGUCCCCAACAUAACAUUACCGUCACGCAUGAGAAACAGCAGAUCACGUCCCCACGAUUUCCGGGACAAUAUGCAGCGAAUCUUGAUUGUCGUUACGUAUUGACCUCCCAAACUGGAGUGGUGCUGACAUUUGAAUACAUAGAUGUUGAAAAGAACUCGGCAUGUUCUCCUACUUGUUGUGACAACAUCACUAUAUACAAUGGACUCCCCAGCGAAAACAGGAAAAUAGAUUCCUUCUGUGGUUUAGAUAGGUUCAAACCGGGGCUCACUUAUGAGAGCAAUGGAACGAACACCUUGACUCUAGUACUGCAAACGGAUGACGAGGGACCCAAGAGGGGGUUUGUUGCCAUAGCACAAGCAAAACCAACAGAAAAGACCUCUUUAUCACCAGUGUCAUCGACUGAAGUGUCUACGACCCAGACACCAUCGACCGACGAUGUGAUAUCCUCCACGCAAAUAAGAGACGUACUUUUUACGCCAGUUGUUUCCGGACUUGAUUCUACUACUUAUAUAGGACCUUGCGCUGCAACGUGCCAGGGGAGGGAGUCUUGUUACGUUGUACACAACUGCACCCAUUAUAAGCAGUGUUAUGCAUUAAAUGGAGCAGACUGCAGAUGUACAUUGAUGAUUUGUCCCUUUCUAACCUUUUGGAACGCAGAAAUAAACACAUGUGACAAGGUUUCACUUGUAGACUGUGCGUCAGAUCCUUGUUUGCAUAUGGAGAAAGGAUCAACGUAUUCGAGCCAUUUUAAUUGCCGAACAUACUAUAAAUGUGACAUGAACCACAAGUCGCAACCAAUGUGCUGUGAUAAAGGAUAUGCAUAUGAUUACCAAACAGCAGAGUGCAUAUCGAAUCCUGAUUGUGGUUUGGAGUGUGUGGAAAGAGAAGGGAGCCAAACUACUCAAGUUCCCAAAACCACCCAAACAUUCACUGAACCUUGCUACCUUCAUCCUGUUGAUGGACGACCUACUGAAUACUUCAAUGCAAUAUCAAGUAUAGUACAAAAAUGCCCCGUUGGGACAGUCUUCCGAGCUGAGUUCUGUGUUUGUGGUCAAGACACGUCAUUUUCUAAACAAGAGUGCAUUCCUCUUGUGAAUGUAGAUUUUAAAGGAGACCAUAUCAUUAACCUGUCCCAACAAAUCUACAUACAAAUAAACAAUGUCAUCAAAGUUUUAUUUGAAACAACUGACUCCUCGUACGGUUUUUUCAACGGUCGAUCCUCAAGUAUUCAAAUACCAAGACUUGACUCAGUGGCUCUUCCCAGGCUUCAGAUUGAGUUAAGGUUCUUAAUGUCCCCUGCGACAACGUCAUCAACUUCUAAGUACCAAGUGUUGGCAUCAAACUGUCACUCAAAAGCUAAACCUUGGGAUCUUUUGGAAGUUACAAAAGAUCUUACACCGUCGUUGGCCAUAAUAGCUGAUACUGUUAAACAACAGUUGCUCUUUUUAGCUUACAGUGACGAUUUGAACGUGAAACCUGUUAAGAUCUAUUUACCAUACGAGGCAGAUGUUCCAAACAGUGUAGAACUUGUAUUCAAUGGAACCAGUCUGAUGGGGCGUGUUUACUCAGAGAAGGCAAACAAUAAAAAAUUCUCACUUUUUUCAGGACGUAUUGCUGCUUCAUCUGGUCCGCUUAUGGUAGGAAUGUGUUCGGACAAAGAUGCAUUUUAUGGAUACAUGGAUAGGAUAAACAUAUUCGACUGUUUGACCUCAGCAUUACCUUCGGUCUUGUAAACAUUACACGUCUUGCAAAUAAUUCAGCAGCCGUGCACAGCGAAAUCUAUGAUAAAUAAAAAAA